GACGAACGCUGGCGGCGUGCCUAAUACAUGCAAGUAGAACGCUGAAGAGAGGAGCUUGCUCUUCUUGGAUGAGUUGCGAACGGGUGAGUAACGCGUAGGUAACCUGCCUUGUAGCGGGGGAUAACUAUUGGAAACGAUAGCUAAUACCGCAUAACAAUGGAUGACACAUGUCAUUUAUUUGAAAGGGGCAAUUGCUCCACUACAAGAUGGACCUGCGUUGUAUUAGCUAGUAGGUGAGGUAACGGCUCACCUAGGCGACGAUACAUAGCCGACCUGAGAGGGUGAUCGGCCACACUGGGACUGAGACACGGCCCAGACUCCUACGGGAGGCAGCAGUAGGGAAUCUUCGGCAAUGGGGGCAACCCUGACCGAGCAACGCCGCGUGAGUGAAGAAGGUUUUCGGAUCGUAAAGCUCUGUUGUAAGUCAAGAACGAGUGUGAGAGUGGAAAGUUCACACUGUGACGGUAGCUAACCAGAAAGGGACGGCUAACUACGUGCCAGCAGCCGCGGUAAUACGUAGGUCCCGAGCGUUGUCCGGAUUUAUUGGGCGUAAAGCGAGCGCAGGCGGUUUGAUAAGUCUGAAGUUAAAGGCUGUGGCUCAACCAUAGUUCGCUUUGGAAACUGUCAAACUUGAGUGCAGAAGGGGAGAGUGGAAUUCCAUGUGUAGCGGUGAAAUGCGUAGAUAUAUGGAGGAACACCGGUGGCGAAAGCGGCUCUCUGGUCUGUAACUGACGCUGAGGCUCGAAAGCGUGGGGAGCGAACAGGAUUAGAUACCCUGGUGGUCCACGCCGUAAACGAUGAGUGCUAGGUGUUGGAUCCUUUCCGGGAUUCAGUGCCGCGGCUAACGCAUUAAGCACUCCGCCUGGGGAGUACGACCGCAAGGUUGAAACUCAAAGGAAUUGACGGGGGCCCGCACAAGCGGUGGAGCAUGUGGUUUAAUUCGAAGCAACGCGAAGAACCUUACCAGGUCUUGACAUCCCGAUGCUAUUUCUAGAGAUAGAAAGUUACUUCGGUACAUCGGUGACAGGUGGUGCAUGGUUGUCGUCAGCUCGUGUCGUGAGAUGUUGGGUUAAGUCCCGCAACGAGCGCAACCCCUAUUGUUAGUUGCCAUCAUUCAGUUGGGCACUCUAGCGAGACUGCCGGUAAUAAACCGGAGGAAGGUGGGGAUGACGUCAAAUCAUCAUGCCCCUUAUGACCUGGGCUACACACGUGCUACAAUGGUUGGUACAACGAGUUGCGAGUCGGUGACGGCAAGCUAAUCUCUUAAAGCCAAUCUCAGUUCGGAUUGUAGGCUGCAACUCGCCUACAUGAAGUCGGAAUCGCUAGUAAUCGCGGAUCAGCACGCCGCGGUGAAUACGUUCCCGGGCCU
rnacentral:rRNA from 1 species